rnacentral:lncRNA from 1 species
GAAUAAUGAAACAACCCUUUCUGUUCACACAGCAGAAAACAGCCGACUCUCUGGCUCCUGGGCUGCAGUAGGGGAUCACUCAUGCCUCCUCCUCACGCAGCACAGCAGUGGUCUGAAGGGUCAAGAUCACCGAUCACUGAGAAGGCAUGGACCCACUGCAUUUAUGCGGUGGCUCCUUCUACAGAAAACAAGUUGUCAUACCAGUCAACUGAAGACUUUGGGAUGUUGCCUUGUGAAUACACCAAGUACUUGAAUCAACUAAACCAAAAGGUGGCGUGUUUGAGGACUGUUUGAUGUCAGAUGUAAUCUUUCAUGUUAGUUUGAAAUAUUGAACUACUAGAAAUUAGUAGGGUUUGGCUAUCUAACCAGAAUAGUUUAGGAAAAUCUGCAGUGAAACUCGAGCGGAGUUUUAGCUGCUCUUUUAUGUGCAUAAAAUCAUCGCUGGACAGCCCAUCAUUGGUAAGUCAUUUACUUCUGUAUGAAGUUCUGAUGUGGAAAGUCAGGCAUAACUAUUACAAAUGUCCUGAUGAUAGUAUAAAAACAAUACCAACCUUUCUUUCUCUCAGCUUUUCUUCCUGUUAAAAUUCAGGACACAAAAACUCAUGUAUCACAGUUAUGGUUAAAAAUAUAUGGCAUGUCAUACUCCUUUGAUGUUUUGCACUUUCACAGUGCAAAAUAUGCAAGAGUCCUAUUUCACAGAGAUAGCCUGGUGGCUGGCUUUUCAUAACUUUAAAUAUAAGCAGUAAAACAGAAGGGCAAAUGGCUUUUGGGGGAAGGCAGCUGAAAAACAUCAAAUUUGUACAACAAUCCCCUGGAUUUUUUCCCUGUGACUUUAUCACAAGUUUGAUCACAAGAACAGAAAUUCGUGUGUUCCUAAUGGAGACAAGAUGAAAACAGAGGCUAAGAAAGGCAGUGAAUUUUCAGUAUUUUUGCUUUAAAAACAUACUAUAAACUGGGUCUCAUCUAUUAGAUUCCAAAUAAAUACAGACUGCUUGAUUUUGAUAACCA